UCCCUUGUCUCCUUUCCCUAG
rnacentral:miRNA from 1 species